GCGGGAGUAGUUCAGCGGUAGAACACCACCUUGCCAAGGUGGGGGUCGCGGGUUCAAAUCCCGUCUCCCGCU
rnacentral:tRNA from 1 species